GAGAGAGAGAGAGAGAGAGUGAUGGCUACAGUCCUGCUUGGAACUAAAAUUGGAUUUGCCAAUUUGAAACUGAAAUGAAUUGAUUAAAAAUCAGAUUUAAAUCAAAUUGAAACCGAAAAGUUUAAUUGGAUCUAAUUUCAAAUCAAAAUCUGAUAUUUUGCUUUUAUAUUGAAUUGAACCGAACGGAAUUCAAAUUGAAACUGAGGAAAUCUAGUGGUUGAAUCUUGGUUCUCAUAGAUCGCUAAAUCAAAACCGCCAUAUAUUUUAUUGAAAAAAAGAAA
rnacentral:misc_RNA from 1 species